UACGUAGGGUGCAGGCGUUAAUCGGAAUUACUGGGCGUAAAGCGUGCGCAGGCGGUUUGCUAAGACAGGUGUGAAAUCCCCGGGCUUAACCUGGGAACUGCGCUUGUUACUGGCAGGCUUGAGUGUGGCAGAGGGGGGUGGAAUUCCACGUGUAGCAGUGAAAUGCGUAGAGAUGUGGAGGAACACCGAUGGCGAAGGCGGGUCUCUGGGCCGAUACUGACGCUGAGGAGCGAAAGCGUGGGGAGCAAACAGG
rnacentral:rRNA from 1 species